AUUGAACGCUGGCGGCACGCCUUACACAUGCAAGUCGAACGGCAGCACGGGAGCAAUCCUGGUGGCGAGUGGCGAACGGGUGAGUAAAGUAUCGGAACGUGCCCAGUCGUGGGGGAUAACGUAGCGAAAGUUACGCUAAUACCGCAUACGAUCUAUGGAUGAAAGCGGGGGAUCGCAAGACCUCGCGCGAUUGGAGCGGCCGAGAUCAGAUUAGGUAGUUGGUGGGGUAAAGGCUCACCAAGCCGACGAUCUGUAGCUGGUCUGAGAGGACGACCAGCCACACUGGGACUGAGACACGGCCCAGACUCCUACGGGAGGCAGCAGUGGGGAAUUUUGGACAAUGGGCGAUAGCCUGAUCCAGCCAUGCCGCGUGUAGGAUGAAGGCCUUCGGGUUGUAAACUGCUUUUGUACGGAACGAAAAGGUUUGGGCUAAUAAGCUGAGCUCAUGACGGUACCGUAAGAAUAAGCACCGGCUAACUACGUGCCAGCCGCCGCUGUAA
rnacentral:rRNA from 1 species